GACGAACGCUGGCGGCGUGCUUAACACAUGCAAGUCGAACGCUGAAGCUCAGCUUUUGUUGGGUGGAUGAGUGGCGAACGGGUGAGUAACACGUGAGUAACCUGCCUCCUUCUUUGGGAUAACGCCCGGAAACGGGUGCUAAUACUGGAUAUUCACUGGUCUUCGCAUGGGGGUUGGUGGAAAGGGUUUUUCUGGUGGGGGAUGGGCUCGCGGCCUAUCAGCUUGUUGGUGGGGUGAUGGCCUACCAAGGCUUUGACGGGUAGCCGGCCUGAGAGGGUGACCGGUCACGUUGGGACUGAGAUACGGCCCAGACUCCUACGGGAGGCAGCAGUGGGGAAUAUUGCACAAUGGGCGCAAGCCUGAUGCAGCGACGCCGCGUGAGGGAUGGAGGCCUUCGGGUUGUGAACCUCUUUCGCUCAUGGUCAAGCCGCAACAAUGGUUGUGGUGAGGGUAGUGGGUAAAGAAGCGCCGGCUAACUACGUG
rnacentral:rRNA from 1 species